rnacentral:rRNA from 1 species
UACGUAGGGUGCAAGCGUUGUCCGGAAUUAUUGGGCGUAAAGAGCUCGUAGGCGGUUUGUUGCGUCGGCUGUGAAAUCCCGAGGCUCAACCUCGGGUCUGCAGUCGAUACGAGCAAACUAGAGUGUUGCAGGGGAGACUGGAAUUCCUGGUGUAGUGGUGAAAUGCGUAGAGAUCCGGAGGAAUACCAGAGGCGAAGGCGGCAUCCAGGCCUGUUACUGACACUGAGACGCGAAAGCAUGGGGAGCGAACGGG